GCCGUGCACGUGCCCGCCCGCCUCGGUGCUAGAUCCUCCUGUGUCACUUUCGCUGCACCGCCUCGUCCCCCGCGGCAUCGGCGUCGGUGGUGUUAGCAUCCCCGUUGGCCUGGGACUGGGCCCGCUGGAGCUGCCACUUCGCGUUGGUGGACCAGGCCGAGAGUUACGUCUCCGUGAUGCGCUUCUAGCUCGAGGAUGCCGUGGAGGGCGAGGAAUUCACCGAGGCCGCCGCCUCAUGCGCGUGCUCCUCCACGCCAUUGCCGGUAUAAUGGCUGAUGAUAGCUUUCAGGUUCCCGCUGUGGGAGGAGUUUUGCUGGGUCUAGGUGUGGCCAGCAGAUCGGUUGCGCUGGCCCGGAGAGGACACAGGUGGGGGGUUCGCCGGUGACCAGAUGCAUCUCCGACCCGGUGGCCCCUCUUUGGACAAAAAGGUUACGCCUCUGCAGUGCAUCACUGGAUCGGACACCAUGUCCCUCUAGGAUGAUUGCACUUCUAGGCCGAGCGCAAGGUCUGCUCGCUCACCGCUUGAUUCCUCCAUCUCGUUAUCACCAAUUCCCUCUAGGAUGAUUGCACUUCUAGGCCGAGCGCAAGAGCGCCACCGAGGAGCAGCAGUACCAGGACGCCUCCAGGCUGACCAAGCUCGCCAUAACCAGCCUGGUGAACCCCCUAUCGCCCACUCCUGCUUCUCCGAUGCUGCUUCUUCUUAACAAACCAUCUUCUAAUAGCAAGGUAGGUUGGUGGGCGGGAUAUGCUAAGGACAGCGAUGACUCAAUCGGGAGGAUUGUGCGGAUAACCCCUGGUGUCCGGAGAUACGUCGCCAAGAGUUACAGCCCAAGGUCCGCUUUCUCUGUUGAUGCAAAAUUGAACAUGCAGUUUUUUAGCCUAAUUUAUCACAAGCGAGGAGCAGUGAAUUCUAUAGUCCAUUAGCUACGGUUGAUCGGCAACCGCAUAAGCUUCUAUUUCUACUUCUGAAUUUUGAAUGAUUGUAUGAGCAAAUGAGUGAUAUAGUUAUUGCCUACAUUUGCUCAGUCAAAUCUAAGUAACAACAUAAAAGGACUUCUACAUGACCAGCUCGACCAAAAUACCACCGGCAUCCAUUCUUUUAGUUCAAAAUAAAAAGACAUCCUACAUAUAUGCACAUGCUCAAACACGGGCUGAUUUAUGAAACUAGUGUUGUUGGUUUAGGCAAACACCUCACAGUACUCAAAAGUACAGUUUUGUAGAAACCAUAAUAUUCUGAUUGAACUAGUAGGAUCGUUCUGCUGAACUGAAGAUCCUUCUCUGCAUUUUUUCGCUCGGCCGGAACUUGGGGAUUGCAAUCAAAUUCAGAAGCCCAUGGGAUGGGAUGGAGGUGAUGUUGGGCGCUAUGGUGUGGUGCGUGUUGUAUAUGAUUCAUCAAAAAUUGGCCUCUGAUCUCUCGAUUUUGUGUCCACGAGAUGCUACUCCACCAUAUAAAUCCUACUGCGGCUGCUGCUCCGUCAGUCUCUACCGGCCUGUUCCUCUCCAAUCCAUCCCUUCACGUUAAGUUGCUGAACUCUCUAUAUAGCAGCAUCCAGAUCCAACAUAGAUGAUAUAUAGGGAUACAUCAAUACUGAAGAAUUGAGACAACUAUCAAUACGGAUGGGGUAGGAAGAGAUCCAUGCAGAAUAUUUUACAUAUGAUAGAAUCUAAGCAUCACACCUGUAUGGCUUAUAUAGUCUACAAAACCAGCAGGAAGGAUUGAUUAGUAUUCUUCAUGCGCACUACAAAAUUUCUCACUAUUUUUGCAGAUAUAAUAGGAUAGAUAGAAUAGGGGGGAGGCCAAAAUUUCUCUCGACAUACUUGGUACUUCGACCUUCUCCACCGAUUAGUGAGCUCCGCCACCGAACGUAGCUCCUGUGCUGUGUUGCUGUUCUAGCCAAAGGUUUUAUCUCAAUUUUUAUACAUCUACAUCCCCUCCUAUCAUGCUAGCUGAAGCACCUUGUUGAGUUAUUUUGGAAUCUUUUAUGUACUUUUCUGUUGAGUGCCUUUGUUUUAAACUAUGAGAUAUGCCUAUGUUUAAUUCUGAAAUCUUAAUGCAAUCUUAUGUUGUUCCACCGAGAUUGAUUUUCAAAAUGUGUAUAUCUAAUAUUUCUUACUGCAGCUUUAAGCUUCGCUGUCAGCUAUCUCUUUCCACUUAAUUUUUGUUAUCUGUCUUUGAACCUAUAAAAAUGGGUGAUCUGUACACUUGUCAUCUCCUACAUGUGUACAAUAUGACAUUGAAUUGGCCUAUUAAAGGUUGGUUCCAUUUUCUGUAUAUGCCUUGUACACUCUUAUAUUCUCCCAUGAUUGAAGUCUGCAAUGCUUAUGGGACAAUUUUUGUUUGUAGGUUAAGACCUCAUUGUCUGCUUCAACGAAGAGAUUUGAAGAGUUGCGAAAGGUAAUUUUGGGGCAAAUUUCCAUUGUUACAGGAUAAUGAGAUGUUGAAGCGGCAGACUGAAUCCAUGACACCGAAGUGCAAUUGCGGCAGAUUAUGUCUAUUUUUUCUUUUCAUUUUUCUUAUUAUUGGAGUGAGAAUAGGUAGAAUGAGGAACUGUGUGAUGAUACAACAAUUGUAGUAAUGGAAUUGGUUUAUUAUAAAUCUUGUAUUUGUAAUGAUGUCUACUGGUUUAUUACAAAUCUUUGUUUGUUUUA